AUCUGAUGUUUCUUUGUUUCCUGGUCCUUAAAAUUUGACCUCACUCUCCUGUGUGAAAGGGCACAUGAAAUCAUGAGGGAGGGACUUACAAGCAAUCCAAAACUCAAGAUUCGGAUUUUAAAUCCAAGUUCCAAAACAAGCUAUGCUACGAAUUGGGACUCUGUUUUACUUGGAUUCCUUAAAUUUGGGUUUCACCAUGGAUUUUAAAUGGACAAUAUUUAUAUUAUAUGGACUGCACCUUUAAAUGUGGACUGUCGUCACCAUAACAACCUGCACUAACAUUGGAAGGAGAGCCAGGAUAUAAGAGAAACACCGCCCCGUGACAUCUUUCACACUGACGUGGAGCGGAACUGAGGGCGGAUAUGACGUUCCGUCUAGGAGAGCGGACCCUGAGGGCGGAAGUGACGUCACGUCUAUGGGAACGAACUCGGACUGUCACUUAGCAACUGGAGGGACCUGGCAAUUACGAUCGGUGGAGACUGACUAAGUUUGGUCUCAUAAUAGCAGCGUAUUGAACCUUCAGUGAAUCGCACAUUUAUAGUGAUUAGGAUGAAUUAGGGAUUAUUAAUACUGUUUUACAGAGACUUUAUUUUAGAUCCCCUUUAUCUCCAUGAGGAUUAUGGGAUAUUUAACAGGAAGUGGUAGCCAUGGUAAUAGGAAUAAACAUAUGGAGGUGGCCAUGUUUUACACAGAUUUUUAUCAUUCAUUUCUUAAUUAAUUCCAAUCAAUGCUGUGAUUGGUAAGUUUGGAAAUAAAAGCAUUCUGGUUUUUAUGGGGAGCACAUCAGCCUUGAAAAAGGGCCUAGAAAGGCCUGAAACACGUCGGCGCAGCUAGAGGUGUCUCUUCGCUGGUUGUGGAAGGAGGUUUGCCGGAGAGUCCAGGACACCAUUUCCCGGGAGGUUGCCUGGCAAUAAGAACACGUUUGUUUGAGGAUAAAUAUAUCCUCAGACCAUCCGGUAAUUCUUUACUUUUACACUCAGCCUGGGGAUUUUCCUAUAUGCUGCAUGUGCUCUGUGCAGUAUUAUGAAACAUUGUUUUAUCUGGAUUUUGAUUUUAUCUAAAAAAGUUAUUAAGUGUGUAUGAAACUUUAUGUGAAUGAAUAAAACUGUGUUACACGAUAUUCCUUAUCUUCUUAUUUACAUA